UCGCAGCCAAAAAGGAAGGACACAUCACAGACACAAUUCGAUUUUUUCAAAAAUACAAGGGGGCACCUGUGUGUUUUCCCUCCCCCCAACCUACCGGCACCUAUGCAGCACGGUGUCACUGGAAACCUGAAAUCUUGUAGUCUAUUAUUUUUUCUUGUUCGUAGUUCUGAUCCAUUGUAGGUUACUACCCCAGAAUUUGCCUGGGGCGAAUGAGUAGAAUUACAAAACUCUUAGUCAGGAUAGCCGACCUACUCGCCAAGACUGAGCCGAGCCCCUGCGAAGUUCGGUAGCUGUUAUCAAGUAAUUAUUUGAAAUUGUGAAGUGAAGCUUAAUGAUGGAUCAAAGAAUUGAUUUAAUUCUUUGAUCUAAACAUUUAACGCUGACUUAUGAAUUUGUCUUAUGAACAGAAUUGUAUGAUCCAGUGAUAUUUGUUGAAUAAUAAGUGAUGUGCAACAGGAUGCUACAAUAAAGGAGUAAUUAAUUGUAUGAAAUA